rnacentral:rRNA from 1 species
GGUUGGCCUCGGAUCAGGUAGGAUACCCG